CUGGUUUGCCUAGUGGUGCUUCGGCGACCGGACGGGGCCGUGGGGGAGGAGCUGCAAGGACAACAGCAUCGGAUGUCCCGGGCCGCCCGUUGGCUGUCCAACUUAGGCCAGUUCAACAAGUACAUAGAGAAGCUCUUCAAUAGCAGCAUGAAGUCCAAGAACACCAAGAACUCUAGUGACGCGAACAACCCCAGGAAUAGUACGAAACCCCUAUCAGCGAACGCGACGAAACCUCUGCCAGCGAACGCGACGAAACUCCGCGGACGGAAAACCACGAACCCCUAGCCGCGGAACACCGCGAAACCCCAACCACCAGCCUCCUCCCAGGGCCCCAGGUAGGAGAGCCUGGGCCCGGCUGGCCCCAGUCGGGGUCCUCGGAAGUGGGGGCAGGUUGGGCGGGAGCGAAAGGAGGGCUGGGGGGACCCAGGGGAUUCCCGGGGACUUCCUUCUCCAGGCUGGGCUUUGACUUCCGAAGUUUAACUCAAGUCUCCCCGCCCAUCGAUCCUCUUUAUACUAUGAGAGGGGCCCUAACUCCUGCCCAGCCCGCCCUCAGUGAGAACAAUAAAGAGAAACGGAAUCUC